GUGUGGACUGUGCGUCUCUCAGGUUCGCAGCAGGUCAGACACUGGAUAGGUCUUGGUGACUGAGAAGCAAAGGAGGCCUGACUGGAGGUCAGAAGGGUAAGAAGUCUUCCAGAAACAUUACAGUGGAUAAAUACACAUUCGGAGGAGAAAUGGAGAGUAUGGAGCAAACAGAAAGCUGGACCAGCAAACACACAAACCACCUCUGUACAUGCACUGUACAUGAACCUCAGAGAGCCCCACAAAGUUUAUCCACUUUGUGCUUAGUGUUGCCCAGUUAUCUAUACAGUACAUCUAUUAUUACAUUUUAACCAAUUGCUGGCCAGUAGUCAGUGUUAUGGGAGUGGUCUGAAUGGCAUGUAAUCCAGUAUAAUCACUGGCUAGACCCUCUGAGUCCCUAAUUACAAUUUGCAGUCAUGUAGUGCUAUAACUGGGACCGAGAUUGGAGGCAACGCUUGCAGGCAGGCAAGUGAGAAGUGGAGCUUCUGUCUUGUCAUUGUGUCUUUGUGCUUAUUUUACAGGAUCUGGUGGAAGGGAAAGCCAGAUGACCACUGCAUGAAUCAUACAGAUUGUGCAGAUAGAAGUCUUGUCUUUCACACCGCUCGCUGCCAUGUCGAAGGGCCUGCUAUACUUACCUGUGAAGUUCAAGAAGAACUUCUGCCAUGACGCUGCCGUCGAUCAAGCGAAGCAGCUGGAUUCCGCAGUGUCUCUGGAGGAACUGAAGGAAGCUGUGGCUUGCAGAAAGAAAGGUAGACCAUUAACUCAGGGUGAAGAUGUGACCAAUAUUGACGUGAAAACCAACUGUACCUCCCUCCACACUGUCUCCCUGUUCGAAUCCCGGUGUAGCCACGAUAAGAUCCGCACAGCCAUUGGGCCCUUGAGCAAGGCCCUUAACUCUGCAUUGCUCCAGGGGAGGAUCGUCUCCUGCUUAGUCUAAUCAACUAGACAGAGAAACGGGGACAAAGCUCACACCCCUACAGGCUGGCUGCAGUGUGUCUGGGGCUGCUGUGUGCUCUCUUAUUGACUGCCACAAUAGUCCUGUGUGUCCUCUACCAACUGGCACAAUGGGGAAGAAAUGUGAGCUAAGUGACCAUGGCAUGAUUGUUGGUGCCAGGGUGGUUUCAGAAACUGCUGAUCUCCCGGGAUCUCAGAAACUGCUUAUCUCCUGGGAUCUACAGGGAUCUAAGAAUGACAUGCGUGCCGGUGAAGAGGGUGCUCUUCGUCAGAACGAUACGAUAGAGGAAGGGGUUGCGGAACAGCUCAGGGCCAACUGCAGCAUUCACACUGACGACAAUGGACAGCAGCAGGAGAACUACAACAAAAUGGCCGAGGAGAAAUGCCUGAUACAAAAGAACUACAACAAAAUGGCCGAGAGGAAGGACAAGCUGCAGAAGAACUACGACAAAAUGGCCGAGGACAAGGCUCAGCUGCAUAAAAGAAACAAGGUGCUGACCAAAGUCAAUGCUCAGCUGCAGAAAAACUGCAGCACAGUAUGGAAGGACUACAAUACCCUGGACAAUGACAAGAGACAACUGGUUACGGACUACAAUGUCCUGGCAAAAGAGAAGAUCCAGAGAGAGAGGGACUACAGCGCCUUAGAGACGGAAUGCCAAACUCUGACCAGAGAGAAGAAAAGGGUUGAGGAGGAAAGGAAGACACUGCAACAACUACUGGAAGAAGAGAGGGACAUGUUUCAGCGAUGGAACCGUACCUUUAUGGUUGUGUUGGAGAACAUGAAACACAAGGAGCAGCUACAGAGGGACUUCGAUGCCGUGUUGGCAAAAUCCCCCUUCCUGGAUCAGUACUGUCCCCUCAGCUUACAGAAGAGAGUGUGCAAGCCCUGUCCACAGGGCUGGGAGCAGUUCUACUCCAAGUGUUACUACUUCUCCACGGAGAGGAAGAGCUGGAUGGACGGUCGCAGUGACUGCAUUAAGCAGGGAGCUGACCUGGUGGUAAUAAAGAGUGAAGAGGAGCAGGAGUUCAUCACCACAUACACAUGAGAUUAUAACUGGAUUGGACUGAGUGACUCAGAAACAGAGGGCACCUGGCUCUGGGUGGAUGGAAGCCCCCUGCAGAGAGGGUUCUGGAGGAACGGACAGCCGGACGACCAUUUCUGGUUUGACAGUCGCACGCAGUACCAGGACGCAGACUGUGUGGUGACUGUGCCCGGUGAGAGUGCAUGGAUGGACACGCACUGCUACUCGUACCGCAGGUUCAUCUGCGAGACUGACGCUCUGCUGCUUUAAAACGCCACUUCCUUUGAUGCCAAGUGGGAAAUCUGGGAAAUUUUGUUCAAGAACAUAUGUAAUCAUUUUCCUCAUUUUCCAAAGAUGCUGAAAAUAUCAAAACGUUAUGGCCAGACCAGAACUGUACCUAUGUUUGAGAGUUGAGGCCUUAAAGGGAACAAAACAGAGACUGGCAUAGAGACACAGAAUACACUUCCAUGUUGUGAAAUAGUGUAGUGUGAAAUACUGUGAUAUAGAUUUGUGCUUCCCAAAUGCAUGCACAUGUUUGCAUUGAGACACUCUAAUCCAGACAAUCUUACACAGUUUUAACACACAAUCCAUUUAUACAACUGGCUAAUUUGACCAAAGUAAUUCAGUUGGAGUGCUUUGCUUAAUAGUACAACGGCACCACUGCAGUCAGGAAUCAAAUCCACAACAUUUGGGUUAACUGCCAGGCUCCCAGACCAUUGGACUCCAAUCUAACCCUCCAAUCAUUGGCCCCAGCUACACUACAGCCCUCCAAUCAGGGGCCCCGCCUACACGACAGCCCUCCAAUCAGACGCCCCACCGAUGUUCUCACUUACUGGACAUGUUUGUAAUGAUCCCUCAGUGAAUCGUGGACUGAUAAAAAUUAGUAGAAAUUAAUCCUAAUCAUAAAAAGCCUGUAAAGAUGGUAAAAAAAAAAAAAAAGUUUAGUCUAUUAAAAACAACCAGCUUUUAAAUGUUGUUUUAUUUUCAUUAUUUAAAUAUGUGUCCUGAUUUUGGAAUAAUAAAGUAAUGUAAAUAAAUGAC